rnacentral:rRNA from 1 species
AUACGUAGGGUGCGAGCGUUAAUCGGAAGUUACUGGGCGUAAAGCGUGCGCAGGCGGUUGUGUAAGUCAGAUGUGAAAUCCCCGGGCUCAACCUGGGAACUGCAUUUGAGACUGCACGGCUAGAGUGUGACAGAGGGGGGUAGAAUUCCACGUGUAGCAGUGAAAUGCGUAGAGAUGUGGAGGAAUACCGAUGGCGAAGGCAGCCCCCUGGGUUACUACUGACGCUCAUGCACGAAAGCGUGGGGAGC